CGUCGCUGCCGACUCCCAGGGGGAGCGGCAGACUGGGGCCCCACAACCCCGGACCGAAGAACAGAUAAGCGCUGGCCCACCACCACGGGCGCCAGCCCAACAAGAAAUUUCGGAUGUACGCAUGCUCCAGGAAGGAGCAUGAACCCCC
ncrna:Pseudomonas mendocina S5.2 proV RNA